rnacentral:rRNA from 1 species
AACGAACGCUGGCGGCGUGCCUAACACAUGCAAGUCGUGCGAGAAAGUUCCUUCGGGAGCGAGUAAAGCGGCGCACGGGUGAGUAACACGUAGGUAACCUGCCCCCCAGUCUGGAACAACUAGAGGAAACUCUAGCUAAUGCCGGAUGAGACCACGAUCCCUUCGGGGGUUGCGGCCAAAGAUGGCCUCUACUUGUAAGCUAUCGCUGAGGGAUGGGCCUGCGGGCCAUUAGCUUGUUGGUGAGGUAACGGCUCACCAAGGCUGUGAUGGCUAGCUGGUCUGAGAGGAUGACCAGCCACACUGGGACUGAGACACGGCCCAGACUCCUACGGGAGGCAGCAGUGGGGAAUAUUGGACAAUGGGCGCAAGCCUGAUCCAGCAAUGCCGCGUGAGUGAUGAAGGCCUUAGGGUUGUAAAGCUCUUUCACCCGGGGUAAGAUAAUGACGGUGCCCGGAGAAGAAGCCCCGGGCUAACUCCGUGCCAGCAGCCGCGGUAAU